GUUCCCUGUGAUGUUUUUACACUGACCAUGCUAAUUCUGAUUAUUUUAUGAUUGAAAUCAGAAAUUUAGAAAUUUCUGAGGGAACA
rnacentral:snoRNA from 1 species